GACAACAUAGUUUAAACUAAUUGGAAAGAUGGCUACUCUGCGAGUAGCUGGUGAGAUAAAAUCUCUGUUGUUG